CCUGGCUCAGGAUGAACGCUGGCGGCGUGCUUAACACAUGCAAGUCGAACGGAGUUUACAUGUGAGCGGAGGGUGCUUGCAUCUAACAAUCUUUUGUAAACUUAGUGGCGGACGGGUGAGUAACGCGUGGGUAACCUGCCGUAUGCAGGGGGACAACAGCUGGAAACGGCUGCUAAUACCGCAUAAGCGCACAGUACUGCAUGGUACAGUGUGAAAAGUUCUGGCGGCAUACGAUGGACCCGCGUCUGAUUAGCUAGUUGGUGAGGUAACGGCCCACCAAGGCGACGAUCAGUAGCCGGCCUGAGAGGGUGAACGGCCACAUUGGGACUGAGACACGGCCCAAACUCCUACGGGAGGCAGCAGUGGGGAAUAUUGGGCAAUGGGCGCAAGCCUGACCCAGCAACGCCGCGUGAAGGAAGAAGGCUUUCGGGUUGUAAACUUCUUUUGUCAGGGACGAACAAAUGACGGUACCUGACGAAUAAGCCACGGCUAACUACGUG
rnacentral:rRNA from 1 species